GGGCUUUUAAGAAAUGGGUGGCACGUGUCAUACACUUGAAGAGGCACGCCUGCUAGGGGGAUCUGAAAUUCUGAGGUGGAGAAUGAUAGAAUUGGUGCUGAGUCAAAGCACUAACAUUUUCAGUGAUUGAUUAGUAAUGCUCCAUAACUUUCUUAUUAUAUUUAUUAUUUUUUUUGUUUUUUACCGUGAGAUGACUGGGUUUCCCAGUAGAUUCUUCCUUGGGUAUAAUUUGGGAGACAAACGUUUUCAAGAUUUUUCUUUUUUUUUUUAGGUUACAAAUCCAGAAUUCUAUUUUCGUUGAAGAAAAGUUGAAAUACGGGAAGAUAAUUGAUGGCGGUGACAUAUCGGGUGCAUGUUCCGUGGUUUUUUCCCCAGGUAAACUGGGGAUUUGCAUUUAAGCCUCACCGGAUGUAAUGCUUGCAGAGAUGCUAAAUUGCUAUUUUAAAUUUCUGUUGUCCUUUUGAGGAUAAUUCACUUAUAACUCAAGUCUGAUCAAGCCUAAAUGCUAUGGUCUUCUUCGCCCUAGGCCUCAUCCGCUCCUAAUCAAAUGUGAAAUUUGGCAGAAUCACAUCAACACGUGCACAUAUAACCAUAUCAAACGCAGCAAAAGAAAUUGAUAUUUCCAUAACGGCAAAUAUGCUAUGACUGAUCACACAAAUUGAGAUAUGCUAGAACUUUCUAACAUUCUAAACUUUUCAAGUGCCCGAGGUGAACUUAAUGUUUUUCAUCCACCACGACAGUCAAAUUCAUCAGAACUAGUUAUUAGUCUAGGCAAAACAGGUGGUAUAUAAUAAAAUUUUUAAUAGAAACAGCAAUGUAGCGCACACACUAGAGCGGGAAAACCUGGUAAUUUUAUCUCUGACCCUCGAGAGCAGGACGUCAUACUGCUCUCAUACGGACAGCAUUCGCUAGGAGGCAAAGUCUCAAGCCCCACCAUUACUCGAUCCUUUGACCUACAUUUGGGCUGAAGGAUUCCAACCCCUGCUCCCCCAUCUUUUGUAC
rnacentral:misc_RNA from 1 species